CAAUAGCGUAUAUUAAAGUUGCUGCAGUUAAAAAGCUCGUAGUUGCAUUUCCGAGGCAAGGGAUUAGUCCGACCUUUGGUGGGUAUUUAAUCCUCUUGCCUCGUCCUUGAGUGGUGCUUCUUGGUAUUAAGUUAUCGAGGAGAUAGCCGCUCAUCGCUUACUGUGAGAAAAUUAGAGUGUUCAAAGCAGGCUUAUGCCGUUGAAUAUAUUAGCAUGGAAUAAUAAGAUAGGACCUCGGUACUAUUUUGUUGGUUUGAGAACCAAGGUAAUGAUGAAUAGGGACAGUUGGGGGUAUUCGUAUUCAGUUGUCAGAGGUGAAAUUCUUAGAUUUACGGAAGACGAACUACUGCGAAAGCAUUUACCAAGGAUGUUUUCAUUA
rnacentral:rRNA from 1 species